rnacentral:rRNA from 1 species
CCUACGGGAGGCAGCAGUGGGGAAUCUUGCGCAAUGGGCGAAAGCCUGACGCAGCCAUGCCGCGUGAAUGAUGAAGGUCUUAGGAUUGUAAAAUUCUUUCACCGGGGACGAUAAUGACGGUACCCGGAGAAGAAGCCCCGGCUAACUUCGUGCCAGCAGCCGCGGUAAUACGAAGGGGGCUAGCGUUGCUCGGAAUUACUGGGCGUAAAGGGAGCGUAGGCGGAUAGUUUAGUCAGAGGUGAAAGCCCAGGGCUCAACCUUGGAAUUGCCUUUGAUACUGGCUAUCUUGAGUAUGGGAGAGGUAUGCGGAACUCCGAGUGUAGAGGUGAAAUUCGUAGAUAUUCGGAAGAACACCAGUGGCGAAGGCGGCAUACUGGCCCAUUACUGACGCUGAGGCUCGAAAGCGUGGGGAGCAAACAGGAUUAGAUACCCUGGUAGUCCACGCUGUAAACGAUGAGUGCUAGUUGUCGGUCGAUGCAUGCAUGUCGGUGGACGCGACGCGUACG